rnacentral:rRNA from 1 species
GAUGAACGCUGGCGGCGUGCCUAAUACAUGCAAGUCGAGCGAACGGACGAGAAGCUUGCUUCUCUGAUGUUAGCGGAGGACGGGUGAGUAACACGUGGAUAACCUACCUAUAAGACGGGGAUAACUUCGGGAAACCGGAGAUAAUACCGGAUAAUAUUUUGAACCGCAGGGUUCAAAAGUGAAAGACGGUCUUGCUGGCACUUAUAGAUGGAUCCGCGCUGCAUUAGCUAGUUGGUAAGGUAACGGCUUACCAAGGCAACGAUGCAUAGCCGACCUGAGAGGGUGAUCGGCCACACUGGAGCUGAGCCACGGUCCAGACUCCUACGGGAGGCAGCAGUAGGGAACCUUCCGCAAUGGGCGAAAGCCUGACGGAGCAACGCCGCGUGAGUGAUGACGGUCUUCGGAUCGUAAAACUCUGUUAUUAGGGAAGAACAUAUGUGUAAGUAACUGUGCACAUCUUGACGGUACCUAAUCAGAAAGCCACGGCUAACUACGUG